UUACGCAAUCGAAUACCACCGGAAGUAGAACAUUUAUGUCAACACCGGUUUCGUAUUUCACGUGAAAACGGCCUAAAACUGAGAGGUUAUCAACAAAUUAUAAAGUUACGGGUACCAUGAGGAUUUGUCAUGCAUUUAAACGGCUGUCCUACAUGUCUAGUCAGGUUGACAGAAGUGGAAGAUGGUCUAGUGGUACAAUGAUGUACAAAUGAUACUCUAUAAUAGGUUUAACAUUUAAAAGUGUAAAAUGUUCUGUGGAUUCAUAUGAUGGGAAUGCCAGUGUUAUUCUGUAUGGUUUAAUUAAACACAGAUAUUGAUACCUUCAGGUAUGUCUAUGAAAUCUUCAGUGUCACCAUUCAGCUAUGGUUCAAGAUCAGUGUCAGCAACUUGCACAGUUUAGUAUAGAGGAGCCUACUGAAUCAAUUUUGUUACAUAUUUGCUGUUAUUGUAGGCCAGACAUGUAGAGAGCAGCAAGUCCUGUCCAGUCGUGCAUGUAAAUGUGAUUCAGAAACUGAGAAUAUGUGAACAUUACACUGUUAUAAUUUUCAAAAUAUUGUGUCUUGUUUUUAAAGUUGUAAGUUUAAGGUUGGCAUAAAUUGUUUUUCUCUUUUAUAAAUCUAAAAAGUGACGGGUCAUUAUGAUUGCAAUAUC